ACAACAAAGAUGAGAUAGUUCACACAAUAAUCUGCUUAUCUGGAAUCACUUUGCCUCACAAGGGCCAGAGAGAAAUCACAGCUCCAUUGUCUGAGGGCAGGACAGCUGACCUGAGAAAAUGCAACUACACCUGGAGCAAGACUUUUCCUGGAGUGGCAGUCCCAGGCGAGCCGGCAUUCAAGGACCCAGCUGCCCCUGAGAACGGAAGGGCAAUGACAGCAGCAAAAACCUCAGAUAAUUGACUGCAUCCAACUUGAGAAUUGGCACCAAAAAGAAAAACAUAGCAGCACACAGGGAACAGAAGAAGUAAUCCAUCAACAAUUCCCGCCCCCCAAGACCUGUUCUCUGAAUUGUCCAAUGUGUGACUAGCCAGGGAAGAAUAUUUCUGCUCUGUUUAACUAUGUUUUAUUUAAUUAAACCUUCGUUCAUUUGGCA